GUCUUUUCAUUCCAGGCUGAAUGUGGGCAUGGCAGUGAAACUGUCCAGACUGGUUAGGAGGACAGGGAGAGGUGCUACUCCACUGACUGUCCCAGAGUUCUCCCUGGUCCUAAAGAGCAACCAGCCACCAGAGAGUGUUAUCCAGGGCUCUGAGUAGUGUGGCAUCCCUGCUGAGACUCUGGAGGGUUCAGUGUCUGGACCUGACUGACUUCUGGAUCCAGGGUCACUCUCUCAUCACACUGCUGUGUCACCAGGGACCUCUCUCUCUCAGACUGAACUCAGACACUCUGCAGCAGCUGACUGUAGUUGUGUAUGAAGCUCAGGACAAGGACUUGACUCAGUGGUUCCUGGAGAAGGUUGGUGGAGACCUGACCUCCUGCAGGCUGGACCUGGAAGUGCUUCUCUCUCUGCUGCAGCAUUCAACCCACAGCAUCACUGUGGACCUCAGGAAGAACAGGCUCCUAGAGAAGAACAUCUCAGAUCUUCUCCCCUUUCUGGGAAGGGUUAUAUUCAAGAGGUCCAGUUCCAGCUUUGUAAAGUCCACCAUCAGACAGAUCUAUGACAGCAGAGCCAGUGACUGUGUGUCCAGUUUGUUGAGGUCUUCAGACCAUUGGAUCAACCUGAACAGCAGAGAGCUGGACAGAGUGGACUGUACUGCUCUGUGUUUUACCCUGCAGCACUGCCACCAAGUCAAAGUCAACCUGCUGUGGACCUCCAUACCACCGGGGGAGAUAGAGAGCAUCCUGCCUCUUCUGGACAGAGUCUCCCAACUCAGUGUUGACAGGAGGUUACUGCUGAGUUUCCUCCAGUGCUGUGCUGCCUCUCCGAUCCAGCAGGGGGCACCACCACCACCACCACCAA